CAGCAGCCACGGUAAUACGUAGGGUGCAAGCGUUAAUCGGAAUUACUGGGCGUAAAGCGUGCGCAGGCGGUUUGUUAAGACAGAUGUGAAAUCCCCGGGCUCAACCUGGGAACUGCAUUUGUGACUGGCAAGCUAGAGUCUGGCAGAGGGGGGUGGAAUUCCGCGUGUAGCAGUGAAAUGCGUAGAUAUGCGGAGGAACACCGAUGGCGAAGGCAGCCCCCUGGGCCAACACUGACGCUCAUGCACGAAAGCGUGGGGAGCAAACAGGAUUAGAUACCCCGGUAGUCCCUGUCUCUUAUAC
rnacentral:rRNA from 1 species